GGGAGUCAGACUGUACGAGAUAAGUUGGACAGUCAAAAGGGAAAGAGCCCAGACCGCCGGCUAAGGUCCCAAAGUGGGUGUUAAGUGGAAAAGGAUGUGGGAUCUCUAAGACAACCAGGAUGUUGGCUCAGAAGCAGCCAUUCAUUAAAAGAGUGCGUAACAGCUCACUGGUCGAGAGGUCCUGCGCCGAAAAUGUCCGGGGCUGAAACACCACACCGAAGCCGCGGAACCCGUAAGGGUUGGUAGAGGAGCAUUCUUAGGGGAGUGAAGCAUUACCGGAAGGGGAUGUGGACCGCUAAGAAGAGAGAAUGCCGGAAUGAGUAGCGAGAGCAAGGUGAGAAUCCUUGCGGCCGAAUAUCCAAGGUUUCCAGAGUAAAGCUGAUCUGCUCUGGGUAAGUCGGGGCCUAAGGAGAGGCAGAGAUGCGUAUCCGAUGGACAGCAGGUUUAAGAUUCCUGCACCCCUUGUUAUCAGAACUGCGGGGACACGGGAAGGGAAGCAGAGCCGGGAAUGGAAAGCCCGGUGCAAGCGAAGGAGUCGCAGGGUUGGAAAAUCCGCCCUGCAUGAGACGAAGGCGUGAUGCGGAGCGAAAUGAAGUAGUGAAGCUGCGGCCCCUUCCUGUCGAGAAAAGCCGCUAUCGUGUAGCAAGGGCCCGUACCGUAAACCGACACAGGUGGAUGAGGAGAGGAUCCUAAGGCCGGCGGGAGAAGUGUUGUUAAGGAACUCGGCAAAAUGACUCCGUAACUUCGGGAGAAGGAGUGCUGCGCAAGCAGCCGCAGAGAAAUGGCCCAAGCAACUGUUUAGCAAAAACACAGGUCUAUGCGAAACCGAAAGGUGAGGUAUAUGGGCUGACGCCUGCCCGGUGCUGGAAGGUUAAGGGGAGAGCUUAGCGCGAGCGAAGGUUUGAACUUAAGCCCCAGUAAACGGCGGCCGUAACUAUAACGGUCCUAAGGUAGCGAAAUUCCUUGUCGGGUAAGUUCCGACCCGCACGAAAGGCGUAAUGAUUUGGGCACUGUCUCAACAACACACCCGGUGAAAUUGAAAUACCAGUGAAGAUGCUGGUUACCCGCGCCAGGACGGAAAGACCCCAUGGAGCUUUACUCCAGCCUGAUACUGGGAUUCGGUAUUGCAUGUACAGGAUAGGUGGGAGGCUAAGAACUCAUGGCGCCAGCCGUGAGGGAGCCGAUGUUGGGAUACCACCCCUGCAGUACUGGGUUUCUAACCUGCGCCCGUGACCCGGGCGGGGGACAAUGUCAGGCGGGGAGUUUGACUGGGGCGGUCGCCUCCGAAAGGGUAUCGGAGGCGCUCAAAGGUUCCCUCAGAAUGGUUGGAAACCAUUCGAAGAGUGCAAAGGCAGAAGGGAGCUUGACUGCGACACCGACGGGUGGAGCAGGUACGAAAGUAGGACUUAGUGAUCCGGUGGCAUAAAGUGGGAUUGCCAUCGCUCAACGGAUAAAAGCUACCCUGGGGAUAACAGGCUUAUCACUCCCAAGAGUUCACAUCGACGGAGUGGUUUGGCACCUCGAUGUCGGCUCAUCGCAUCCUGGAGCUGGAGCAGGUUCCAAGGGUUGGGCUGUUCGCCCAUUAAAGCGGUACGCGAGCUGGGUUCAGAACGUCGUGAGACAGUUCGGUCCCUAUCCGGCGCGGGCGCAGGAUAUCUGAGAGGAGCUGUCCUUAGUACGAGAGGACCGGGAUGGACCGUCCGCUGGUGGACCGGUUGUCAUGCCAAUGGCACGGCCGGGUAGCCAAGACGGGAAGGGAUAAACGCUGAAGGCAUCUAAGCGUGAAGCCCCCCUCAAGAUGAGAUAUCCAUACUCGAAAGAGUGAGAGACCCCUUAGAGACGAUGAGGUAGAUAGGGCAGAGAUGGAAGCACAGCGAUGUGUGGAGUUGACUGUUACUAAUCGGUCGAAAGCUUGACCU
rnacentral:rRNA from 1 species